rnacentral:misc_RNA from 1 species
AAGUCGUAACAAGGUUUCCGUAGGUGAACCUGCGGAAGGAUCAUUAUUGAAAUAAACCUGAUGGGUUGUUGCUGGUUCUCUAGGGAGCAUGUGCACGCCUUGUCAUCUUUAUAUCUCCACCUGUGCACCUUUUGUAGACCUUUCCAGGUCUAUGUUACUUCAUUUACCCAAUGUAUGUUAAUAGAAUGUUGUGUCUAUAAAAUAUAUACAACUUUCAGCAACGGAUCUCUUGGCUCUC